rnacentral:lncRNA from 10 species
ACUAAUGUAUCUAUUUUUCAAUUCACAUGCUUAUGUUUCAAUCCAUUAAAGUGAUUCAUGGUCAAAUAAUAUGUUAUUGCAAGUACAAAGAGGAGAUAAAAACCACUGCACAUUUGCUAUAACACAAGAACAAAAAUAAUAAAAAAAAGCAUUGCAUGAUUAAAUAUAGUUUUAAUCCCCAAAAGAUCAAAACUAAAAUGAUGUUUUUAAUUAUUUCACAAAAAGGCAUAAAAUAAAAGUUUUUUGAAAAAGUAGGAUGCAAUUGCCUAUGAAAUCAGUUUCCCAGUAAAAUAUUUAAUUCUCUGAGAGCUGGCAUAUUUUGAGUCCGGAUCAAUCAGAUUCUCAAAAUAGCUUUCAUGGGAAGCACUGUGACAUCACUUGUCUCCAUUUUAUCUUCUUUCUCUCUAGUUCCCAGCCCAUGGCACCCAUUUCCAUGAUUUCAAAUAUUAUCUGUGUGCUAGUGGCCCCGCAUUUUAUUUCCAGUCUGUGCUUUCCUUUUACUUGUGAUCUCUACUUGGAUAUCUCAACAUAAAUUUUACACGUGCAAAAUGGACCUUUGGAAUCCCCUGCCGUUCCCCCAAACUCUGUAGUUCCAACCCCUUUUUUCCACCCAUAAGAACAGAAUCCAGCCGGUUUCUCGAGCUGAAAACCCAGGUGUCUUCCUUGAUUGCGUCU